CGAGUAGCUCAGUUGGCUAGAGCGUUCGCCUUACACGCGAAAUGUCGUGGGUUCGAGUCCCUCCUCG
rnacentral:tRNA from 1 species